AACCGACCCAAUCCCUUCCCAGGUUUUCAUCCCUUUGCCCCUUAAAAAAUGUUUCCCUGGGCCACGUCCAGUUCCGAUGGUUGUGCCAGCUCGUCCUUAAUUUGGUUUAAGCCCGAAUAGUCAACCCUUGUCUUAGUGCCAUUAUAGUUGGCCCUUUAAGUGCUUCCGGUGCAACCGAGGAAGGUGGGGAUCGUCAAAUCAUCAUGCCCUUAUGACUGGCUACACACGUGCUACAAUGGCGAUACAACGGUUGCCAACUCGCGAGAGGGAGCUAAUCCGAUAAAGUCGUUCUCAGUUCGGAUUGUAGGCUGCAACUUCGCCUACAUGAAGCCGGAAUCGCUAGUAAUCGCGGAUCAGCAUGCCGCGGUGAAUAGUUCCAACCUUGUACGACUACCGCUGCGUCACACCACGAGAGUUGUAGUCAGAACACUCCUUCUCUGUUCGCUCGACUAAUUCCU
rnacentral:rRNA from 1 species